rnacentral:rRNA from 1 species
UACGUAGGGGGCUAGCGUUGUCCGGAUUUAUUGGGCGUAAAGAGCUCGUAGGCGGUCUGUCGCGUCUGCUGUGAAAUCUCGAGGCUUAACCCUGAGCUUGCAGUGGGUACGGGCAGACUAGAGUGGCGGUAGGGGAGACUGGAAUUCCUGGUGUAGCGGUGAAAUGCGCAGAUAUCAGGAGGAACACCGAUGGCGAAGGCAGGUCUCUGGGCAUUAACUGACGCUGGAGGAGCGAAAGCAUGGGGAGCAAACAGG